rnacentral:rRNA from 1 species
GAUGAACGAGGGAGGCGUGCGUAACACAUGCAAGUCGAACGAAGCACUUUAUUUGAUUUCCUUCGGGACUGAUUAUUUUGUGACUGAGUGGCGGACGGGUGAGUAACGCGUGGGUAACCUGCCUUGUACAGGGGGAUAACAGUUGGAAACGGCUGCUAAUACCGCAUAAGCGCACGGCAUCGCCUGAUGCAGUGUGACAAACUCCGGUGGUAUAAGAUGGACCCGCGUUGGAUUAGCUAGUUGGUGAGGUAACGGCCCACCAAGGCGACGAUCCAUAGCCGACCUGAGAGGGUGACCGGCCACAUUGGGACUGAGACACGGCCCAAACUCCUACGGGAGGCAGCAGUGGGGAAUAUUGCACAAUGGGCGAAAGCCUGAUGCAGCGACGCCGCGUGAGCGAAGAAGUAUUUCGGUAUGUAAAGCUCUAUCAGCAGGGAAGAUAAUGACGGUACCUGACUAAGAAGCACCGGCUAAAUACGUG